UACAGAGGUCCCAAGCGUUGUUCGGAUUCACUGGGCGUAAAGGGUGCGUAGGCGGUCGGGUAAGUCUGAUGUGAAAUCUCCGAGCUCAACUCGGAAAUGGCAUUGGAAACUACCUUGCUCGAGGGUUGGAGGGGGGACUGGAAUGCUUGGUGUAGCAGUGAAAUGCGUAGAUAUCAAGCGGAACACCAGUGGCGAAGGCGGCUCACUGGACCGCAACUGACGCUGAGGCGCGAAAGCUAGGGGAGCAAACAGG
rnacentral:rRNA from 1 species